UACGAAGGGGGCUAGCGUUGCUCGGAAUCACUGGGCGUAAAGCGCACGUAGGCGGCUUUCUAAGUCAGGGGUGAAAUCCUGGAGCUCAACUCCAGAACUGCCUUUGAUACUGGAGAGCUUGAGUCCGGGAGAGGUGAGUGGAACUCCGAGUGUAGAGGUGAAAUUCGUAGAUAUUAGAAAGAACACCAGUGGCGAAGGCGGCUCACUGGCCCGAUACUGACGCUGAGGCACGAAAGCGUGGGGAGCAAACAGG
rnacentral:rRNA from 1 species